UACGGAGGAUCCAAGCGUUAUCCGGAAUCAUUGGGUUUAAAGGGCUCGUAGGCGGUUUAGUAAGUCAGUGGUGAAAGCCCAUCGCUCAACGGUGGAACGGCCAUUGAUACUGCUAGACUUGAAUUAUUAGGAAGUAACUAGAAUAUGUAGUGUAGCGGUGAAAUGCUUAGAGAUUACAUGGAAUACCAAUUGCGAAGGCAGGUUACUACUAAUGGAUUGACGCUGAUGGACGAAAGCGUGGGUAGCGAACAGG
rnacentral:rRNA from 1 species